rnacentral:sRNA from 1 species
ACAUAGUGUUUUUUCAUGACUGAUGUAGGCUAGCCCCGGGACACAGCUCCUGAGGUGGGGAAGCAUGGUCUGUGGCAGAGGACAAAGGUGCAGCUGGCUCGCUGUACCUGGGAUACAAGGAGAACAUAGUGUUUUUUCAUGACUGAUGUAGGCUAGCCCCGGGACACAGCUCCUGAGGUGGGGAAGCAUGGUCUGUGGCAGAGGACAAAGGUGCAGCUGGCUCGCUGUACCUGGGAUACAAGGAGGGUCACUGGGCUUUCAAACCUCUGAUCAACUGGGAACCAGUCUGCAUUUCACUGACCCACAUUAAUCCAAUAUUUAUGAGACUUUAUCAUAAAAGGCUGUAACCCUAUCAUUGAAGUCAAAACAACAGGCUGGCAUUCCAUUCUUCCAGACUUUUCUAAAUCCAGGACCACAAUCGGCACUGCACACAGAGGUUGGCAUCUAAAGGAAAAAAGAGAUGUAUCGUGCUAGCAGGUGUUUGACAUACCCCUUCUGUAAUUGUGUUAAAUAGGUAUGUGAUAUUAAUGAGUUUAUUUUAAAUAAACCAACAAAGUUACUGGAUUUUACAUAGUACAUUGUAUGACAGUCAUCAAUAUAAGAAAAAAAUUGUGGGAAAGUUGAAUUGUUUCCCAUCAACAUGAAAUUCAGGAAGAAGAGGUAAUAGUGUCUUGUAUGCAACCAGUGCAAAUAUUGCAAGCUGGUUAUUCUAUUUAAUUCUCGUCUCCUUAAAACAAAGUACAUUAUAAACACACAAAUAAUCCUCAUAGAGAGAUUAUCUCCAUCAGAAUAGUCUCUCAUCAUAUAUGUGAAACAUAUUUUAAAUUGGUAAUUGAUGUAGGAGUGCCCAGCUUAUUGGGGGCAGUGUUCCUUCUAGGCAGUGGUACAUUACACAUCAUGAAGAACAAGCCAGUAAGCAGAGUUCCUUGAGUGACUUUGUUUAAGUUGCAUUAUUCAGACCUUGUCUUCCCUUGAUUGUAACUCAUGAGCCAAAUCUAACUUUUCUUCCUCACUUUCUUUAUAGUUAGUGUUCAAUUACAUCAACUUAGUAUUCAAGUAUGUGUAAAGGCAUACAAAACCAGGAAAAUACAAGCUGAAAUAUCAGAAUACCAAAAUAAUGUCAACAAGUUUAGGACAACAAAUCUUAAGAAACUAAGUGGAAAUAGAAAAAAAAAACAAAACAAAACAGCUGCAUAUGAUCACCACUAUUGCAUUUUCGUGAGGAGAUGCUGAGUUCCUGUAUAGUGAGCUGGAAGAUGGAGGGUUUCCUAAGAGAGAAGUCUUUACAAAGCCGUGUCUUCAAGUAGCUUCUUGGAAUCUGUCCUCAGUUGGAUUUCAUUUGUAAAUUAAGACACCAAGAACCAAUAGCUGGGAAGGACCGAAAGAGUCUACUUUUAGCCUUCCCAGGGCUUGGAACCAAGAGAAGGAGGAAGGGAGAGGUCUGCCUGCUGGAUACUUGGAGUGCCAACAGAGGAGAGGCUGACUCCCAUAAGGUAAAAAAUACAAGGAAAGUGCCCCAGACUCUGUGCCAAGAAAACCUGCCCCAGAAUGCUGUCUGAUUGUAAUUAUGUGCAGCUAAAAAGGAAUAUAGAAUUAAUAAGUAAUAAGUAGGGAUUAACAGCAUGGAGGUAGGGCAGUGACCCAGCAUUUGUGCUCUUUAAUUCAUAAGAAAAUAUAAAGUCUAUAUGUGUGUUUCAUUGACUAACAUAAAUCAUUGAGGCAGGUAGCAAACCAGAUGCAGGAUUAAUUAAUACAUAUUACAAAACACAGGACCUGAUCCUUCAGUUGGGAUGUUGAAGUCUGUUGGAAGUUCUUAAUCAAGACUCAGGAAUGUCCACAAAAGAUAAAGGCAGGAAGACGAUGGUCUUAAAACCCAUACCCAAAGUGACACACCUACUCCAACAAGGCUACUAUUCCAAAUAGUGCCAAUACAUGGGUGAAGUAUAUACAAACCCUCACAUUCUGUGAGUGCAUAAAUAACAGAAAUUGGACUUUUAACCAUAAUUUUUUCUUGUUUUUCUUUUUUUUCCAAGCUGGGGACUGAACCCAGGGCCUUGUGCUUGCUAGGCAAGCACUCUCCCACUAAUCUCCAACCCCUUAACCAUAAUUUUUUUAAAAUAAAUAUUUGUACAGUGCUAUCAUGGAGAAGCAAAAUGAGACAAUUGGAAAUUUAAUAUGAUCAUGGUGCAUGAUAUGAAAUUUCGAAUGAAUCAAUAAAAAUUAUGUGAAAAAUAAACUAGACUCUUUUUUUAUGAUUUUUGAGUACAGGUGACCACAAACAUUCAAACAUCACUAAAAAUAUUCUGUAUAUUAUAUUUUAGUUGUUAUUUCAAAAGUGUUAGUUGUUAUUUUCGAAAGUGUUUUUCCUGUCACUCGAGUGGUGUUUAUACAUUAUUUUGAUCUCUUGUGUUCAUCUUAGUAUUAAAUAUGAUAGAGUUCUUAUAAUGACUUUCAUAGUGCUCAUUGUUGAGUUAUGGUUUUUGUAAUUGUGUUCAUCCUGAAAAUUUUGUUGUCUCCUUUUAUUAUAAGUAAUAAAUUCACUGGUUAUAGUAACUGAGUUGGCAGUUACAUCUCUAAAUGUUUUAAAUAUAUAUUUUUAAAUUCUCCUCCUUUAAAAAUAUAAAUGGUAUGCUACAUCGAACAAAACUUAGGAAGAUAAGUAACAAAGAUAGAACAAGGUGGGACACAUAUAUCUCCCUGAGAAGGGGAAAUAACGUAGACAUGGAGGGUGAGUGGGUUUGGUGACUGAAUGGGAGUGUGAUGGGAUGAGAAAAGAAGGGGUAGACUAAUAAACAGGUUGUUUGAAGAGAGCACUAAAAUGGGAGUGGCAACUCUGAGUCAUGCUAGAAUAUUAAAGCAAUAGAAACUCCCAGAAAUUUAUGAGGAUAACUAUGGGUAACCUUCCUUGAAAAAUGGGGUAUGGAGUCUGUAAUGGCCAUCUCCAAAAACCAAGAAGAUUUUCAGUGUUGGGAUUGAGACAAUACGCUAAACACAAAUCCAUAACCUACAAUUUACCCUGCCUAAUCAUGUGCAGGAAUAAAGAUAUAGCAGAGGAUGAGGAGAUAACUAACCAAUGACUGGCAUAGCUUGCAAAUGUUGCCAAGAGAGAAAGCUCACCCCUGAUGCUGGUUAAAAAAAUUCUGAAAUAUUUGCAUGCAAGAAUCUAGCAAAUCAUCAUAUGAGAGAAUUCAACAAGCCAGUGAUGAAACCAUUUCAGAAAUCAAUGCCCCCAAAUAGGCAAAGUUUGGGGAAUCUUGGAUAAGAGGACAAAGAACUGUAAGAGCAAGAGGGAUCAAGGAUACAAGAAAUCCUACAUAUCAACUGACCUGGAACCCAAAGUCACAAGAGUCUGAACCACAUACCACAAAAAUUCACAGGACUAAACUACAUCCUCUAAACAUGUGUAAACUUGUGAAGCUUGGUCAUUACAUGGGGGCACCUAAAAGCAGUAGCAGGUCCUGUGUCUGAUUUUGUUUUCUGCCCUUGUGAUUUUUUUC